AUCUCACUUCUGUUCAGCAGGUGUAACUCUGCUGUCUGUCAGUUUAUCCUGUAUUUUAUUUUGAUGAAGAGAAAGCAUUAGGGAGGGGGGAAAAAAUCUCCUCAUCAAAAGCUCAACGGAGAUGCCAACCGGGAU